ensembl:snRNA U5 U5 spliceosomal RNA
GUUUUCAAGCGCCUUUUUGUUUAAAAGUCCAAGAUUUUCAAGCAGGGGUUGCUUACAAAUCUUUCGCCUUUUACUAAAGAUUUCCGUGGAGAGGGGCGUCAACAAGCUCACAAUAUUUUUGGGGGCUCUGUUUUGACAGAGCU